rnacentral:lncRNA from 1 species
AUGUUUCUUUUUCUACACCAGAGUAUUGUUACGCCCCAGUCAGUGGUUUGUGUUCUGCUUAAACCCCAGGUCCGAUUUAGGCCUAUCCCACGGUAUUUGGUAGGAUUAACGUUUCAUGCAGUGCUAUUGAGGAACCGUUGCCCUCUGCUUUCACUUACCUUAGUCCCAGGUGCUGGCGAAACGCUGCCUGAGCGGAGUGUCAGGUUGACGCAGGCAAAACAUGACUUGUUGUGCCUGUCAGUCCUUCGCCCAGCUCCUGGUUUAUUUUAUUCUUUAUUCUCAUCGCUAUGUUUGCGGCUUCUCCAAGGAGCAGUGCGUGCCGGCAGCGCAAGAGUGUUUCACGGUGAACCCUGGGCUGGGCGCUUCAGCCUUUUGCUGUGGUGCAGCUGCCGUAACCCCACAGGCCCAGGGACGACCCCUGUAGAGCAGCCCGUGCCAUUAUUCAGGGAGGCGGCUAACCCCGUUCACACGUGGGGCCAUGGUUCCCAGGAGGCAUUGCUCCCUUUAGCAACACCUCUCUGA